AGUGAACGCUGGCGGUAGGCCUAACACAUGCAAGUCGAACGGCAGCACAGUAAGAGCUUGCUCUUACGGGUGGCGAGUGGCGGACGGGUGAGGAAUACAUCGGAAUCUACUUUUUCGUGGGGGAUAACGUAGGGAAACUUACGCUAAUACCGCAUACGACCUACGGGUGAAAGCAGGGGACCUUCGGACCUUGCGCGAUUGAAUGAGCCGAUGUCGGAUUAGCUAGUUGGCGGGGUAAAGGCCCACCAAGGCGACGAUCCGUAGCUGGUCUGAGAGGAUGAUCAGCCACACUGGAACCGAGACACGGUCCAGACUCCUACGGGAGGCAGCAGUGGGGAAUAUUGGACAAUGGGCGCAAGCCUGAUCCAGCCAUACCGCGUGGGUGAAGAAGGCCUUCGGGUUGUAAAGCCCUUUUGUUGGGAAAGAAAAGCAGCAAGUUAAUACCCCGCUGUUCUGACGGUACCCAAAGAAUAAGCACCGGCUAACUUCGUG
rnacentral:rRNA from 1 species